AUGGUGUUUGAUUAUGCAUCUUUUACUCCUGAAAUCAUGUUACCAGUGAUUCUGCUUCUGAUGGGUCUUUCUGGGCUCACUUUGCCAGUCCAAGCUGCACCGGGUCUUUUGGAUGACAUUUUAACUUUAUUUGAUGAAAUAUAUGACUACACUGUUAAUGACACCACAGAGGAAAUAUCCUACAAACAAAAAAAAAAGGAUUGUUGCAGUUUUAAAUGCUAUGUUGAAAAUCAAAAUUGAAAGUAGAACCAUACACACAAAAUGCUGCGCGAAAAAGCAAAAUAUUGACUUAUUUUCAGAAUUUUAUGACUUUUUGCGCCAUUUAUAAACCUUUUUUAAAAGGUUACAGAUGCACAGAUUAAUACUGAAAAACUUUGAUUUUUCAAGUUCUGUUUAGCUGAAUUAGAAGUAAUUACUCUCCCGCACUUUCGAUUGAGGGCAGAAUACAUGCCUUUAAAGUAUGAUUUUAAAUAGACUGUAGAAUCCUGUCCCAAUUUCACGAGUUCACAUCUACGUAUAUUAAUACUGUAAGUUUAUGCGUAUUUGGCGUGCUGUCCGGGUGGAGGGCUCCGAGCUCGGGAUGUGGCCCGAACCCAGAGUACUCCCCCCGGUUGUGGUAAGAGUAGAUGGAUCUAUAAGUGAGGAGAAAUGGGGUGGAGGAGGGAUGCUGAAAACUGUCAAUGAACAGAGGUAGGUUCUGCUGUUAUUUAUACCUUGGCGUGAGUUGAUUACUGAUUGGUCUCCACUUGUGUUAAUCAGGUUAAUGAACUGCGACUGUUCCUCCCGAACUUUGUUAUAAAACAGCAUUUUGUGAAGGGUGAACAAUACAAUCUCUCUCUCUCUCUCUUUAUCCCUCCCUCCCUCCCUAUUUAAUCAAUG
ensembl:lncRNA